CCUACGGGAGGCAGCAGUGGGGGAUAUUGCACAAUGGGGGAAACCCUGAUGCAGCGACGCCGCGUGGGUGAAGAAGCGCCUCGGCGCGUAAAGCCCUGUCAGCAGGGAAGAAAAUGACGGUACCUGAAGAAGAAGCCCCGGCUAACUACGGGCCAGCAGCCGCGGUAAUACGUAGGGGGCAAGCGUUAUCCGGAUUUACUGGGUGUAAAGGGGGCGCAGACGGCGAUGCAAGCCAGGCGUGAAAGCCCGGGGCCCAACCCCGGGACUGCUCUUGGAACUGCGUGGCUAGAGUGCAGGAGGGGCAAGCGGAAUUCCUGGUGUAGCGGUGAAAUGCGUAGAUAUCAGGAGGAACACCAGUGGCGAAGGCGGCCUGCUGGACUGCAACUGACGUUGAGGCCCGAAAGCGUGGGGAGCAAACAGGAUUAGAUACCCGUGUAGUC
rnacentral:rRNA from 1 species